AGCAGCAGCCACGGUAAUACGUAGGGGGCAAGCGUUAUCCGGAAUUACUGGGUGUAAAGGGAGCGUAGACGGUUAAACAAGUCUGAAGUGAAAUGCCGGGGCUCAACCCCGGAGCUGCUUUGGGAGCUGUAGAACUGGAGUGUCGGAGGGGUAAGCGGAAUUCCCAGUGUAGCGGUGAAAUGCGUAGAUAUUGGGAGGAACACCGGCGGCGAAGGCGGCUUACUGGACGACAACUGACGUUGAGGCUCGAAGGCGUGGGUAGCAAACAGGAUUAGAUACCCCAGUAGUCCCUGUCUCUUAUAC
rnacentral:rRNA from 1 species